rnacentral:rRNA from 1 species
UACGUAGGGUGCGAGCGUUGUCCGGAAUUAUUGGGCGUAAAGGGCUCGUAGGCGGUCUGUUACGUCGGGAGUGAAAACUCGGGGCUCAACCCCGAGCCUGCUUCCGAUACGGGCAGACUAGAGGUAUGCAGGGGAGAAUGGAAUUCCUGGUGUAGCGGUGAAAUGCGCAGAUAUCAGGAGGAACACCGGUGGCGAAGGCGGGUCUCUGGGCCGGAUGACUGACGCUGAGGAGCGAAAGACGUGGGGAGCGAACAGG